UCUUGCUGCCAUGCCACAAUAAACUAGUUGAGCCAUCGCUAACUGCCAAUCAGACUUUGAGUGGAGACCUUGUGAAAAAAUUGUUUCACCAGAAAUCCAUUUACAUCAGGCCUGACAAGGUCAUUCUAAGUGAGGAAAAAGAAUCUUCAUCUUCUGAUGGCGAGCGAAGCCAUUUAGACAGGCAGGCUUUGGAUACAGACAAAAUGGCCUCUGGUAGUGUGCUUGCCUUUUCCAAAGAAACUGU